AUGUUUGACGGAGUUGAGCGGAUGCUUCGGGGAGUCCAUGUGCCAUGGCUAAGGAGGAAUCUAAUUUCGCUUGGUGUUCUUUACGAUGGUGAUAUGAAAUUCCAUUCUGAUCGGGAUAAGAAGACCAUGAAAAUCAUGGAAGAUGGGGUGACCAUGAUGAUAGGAGAGAGUACGGCUUCGCAUCUUUACAAGUUGCAAGGGAGCACUAUUGCAGGUGGAGCCAUGAGUAGCAGUGAAGUCCCACAGUGGCGGCGGGUCUGGCCCGUCGGGUAG
rnacentral:rRNA from 1 species